rnacentral:ncRNA from 10 species
UACGUUCAUCAUAUAGACGGAAGUACCCAAUCUUGGGGAAGGAACGCACU